UCACUGAAGCGCAGCUCUCACGAAUGUUAUCACACAUAUACACGUUACACCUAAUAGAAAUUUGAUAUAUAUAAAAAAAAAACAAAAUGAACUGGGAAGAGCUGCCAAAAAUUUUUUAAGAUUGGGAGGUAAUCUUCGUAUAUAACAUAGAUUGUUGUUGCUGGAAGACUAAUUGAUUAGCGAAGCAUCCUUUUGGUUCAAAAGUGAGCACUAAGGCGGCGAUUAAGAAAAUUUAUCCUCCGGUUCAAAUCAGCAAUUUGUAAUGUUUAAAUUUGUUUGUUGUUGUUAUUCACAUAGAAAUAAAGAAAAGCCCUGGCGGUAA